rnacentral:rRNA from 1 species
UACGUAGGAGGCGAGCGUUGUCCGGAGUUACUGGGCGUAAAGCGCACGUAGGCGGAUGUGCCAGUCAGGGGUGAAAUCCCGGAGCCCAACUCCGGAACUGCCUCUGAUACAGCACGUCUUGAGUCCGGAAGAGGUGGGUGGAAUUCCUAGUGUAGAGGUGAAAUUCGUAGAUAUUAGGAAGAACACCGGUGGCGAAGGCGGCCCACUGGUCCGGUACUGACGCUGAGGUGCGAAAGCGUGGGGAGCAAACAGG